AUUGAACGCUGGCGGAAUGCUUUACACAUGCAAGUCGAACGGCAGCAUAGGUGCUUGCACCUGAUGGCGAGUGGCGAACGGGUGAGUAAUACAUCGGAACGUGCCCAGUCGUGGGGGAUAACGUAGCGAAAGUUACGCUAAUACCGCAUACGAUCUAAGGAUGAAAGCGGGGGACCGUAAGGCCUCGCGCGAUUGGCGCGGCCGAUGUCAGAUUAGGUAGUUGGUGAGGUAAAGGCUCACCAAGCCGACGAUCUGUAGCUGGUCUGAGAGGAGGACCAGCCACACUGGGACUGAGACACGGCCCAGACUCCUACGGGAGGCAGCAGUGGGGAAUUUUGGACAAUGGACGCAAGUCUGAUCCAGCCAUUCCGCGUGCAGGACGAAGGCCUUCGGGUUGUAAACUGCUUUUGUACGGAACGAAAAAGCUCUUACUAAUACUAGGAGUCCAUGACGGUACCGUAAGAAUAAGCACCGGCUAACUACGUGCCAGCCGCCGCUGUAA
rnacentral:rRNA from 1 species